rnacentral:rRNA from 1 species
AUUGAACGCUGGCGGCACGCUUUACACACGCAAGUCGAACGGUAACAGGCCGCAAGGUGCUGACGAGUGGCGCACGGGUGAGUAAUGCAUCGGAACGUGCCCAGUCGUGGGGGAUAACUACUCGAAAGAGUAGCUAAUACCGCAUACGAUCUAUGGAUGAAAGCGGGGGACCGUAAGGCCUCGCGCGAUUGGAGCGGCCGAUGUCAGAUUAGGUAGUUGGUGGGGUAAAGGCUCACCAAGCCAACGAUCUGUAGCUGGUCUGAGAGGACGACCAGCCACACUGGGACUGAGACACGGCCCAGACUCCUACGGGAGGCAGCAGUGGGGAAUUUUGGACAAUGGGCGCAAGCCUGAUCCAGCAAUGCCGCGUGCAGGAAGAAGGCCUUCGGGUUGUAAACUGCUUUUGUACGGAACGAAACGGCUCUGGUUAAUACCCGGGGCUAAUGACGGUACCGUAAGAAUAAGCACCGGCUAACUACGUG